UGGGGAAUAUUGGGCAAUGGACGAAAGUCUGACCCAGCGACGCCGCGUGAGGGAAGAAGGUCUUCGGAUUGUAAACCUCUGUUGAUAGGGAAGAAGAAAGUGACGGUACCUAUCGAGGAAGCCACGGCUAACUACGUGCCAGCAGCCGCGGUAAUACGUAGGUGGCAAGCGUUAUCCGGAAUUACUGGGUGUAAAGGGUGUGUAGGCGGGACAGCAAGUCAGAUGUGAAACUUAUGGGCUCAACCCAUAACCUGCAUUUGAAACUGUUGUUCUUGAGUGUUGGAGAGGUAAAUGGAAUUCCCAGUGUAGCGGUGAAAUGCGUAGAUAUUGGGAGGAACACCAGUGGCGAAGGCGAUUUACUGGACAACAACUGACGCUGAGACACGAAAGCGUGGGGAGCAAACAGG
rnacentral:rRNA from 2 species